rnacentral:rRNA from 1 species
GAUGAACGCUGGCGGCGUGCUUAACACAUGCAAGUCGAACGGGAAACCUUUUAUUGCAGCUUCGGCAGAUUUAGCUGGUUUCUAGUGGCGGACGGGUGAGUAACGCGUGGGUAACCUGCCUUAUACAGGGGGAUAACAGUCAGAAAUGGCUGCUAAUACCGCAUAAGCGCACAGAGCUGCAUGGCUCAGUGUGCAAAACUCCGGUGGUAUAAGAUGGACCCGCGUUGGAUUAGCUGGUUGGUGGGGUAACGGCCCACCAAGGCGACGAUCCAUAGCCGGCCUGAGAGGGUGAACGGCCACAUUGGGACUGAGACACGGCCCAGACUCCUACGGGAGGCAGCAGUGGGGGAUAUUGCACAAUGGGGGAAACCCUGAUGCAGCGACGCCGCGUGAAGGAAGAAGUAUCUCGGUAUGUAAACUUCUAUCAGCAGGGAAGAUAAUGACGGUACCUGACUAAGAAGCCCCGGCUAACUACGUG